rnacentral:misc_RNA from 1 species
GAUGAAGAACGUAGCGAAAUGCGAUACGUAAUGUGAAUUGCAGAAUUCAGUGAAUCAUCGAAUCUUUGAACGCAUAUUGCGCUCUCUGGUAUUCCGGAGAGCAUGCUUGUUUGAGUAUCAGUAAACACCUCAACUCCCUUUUCUUUUUUGAAAUGGGAGCUGGACUUGAGUGAUCCCAACACUUUUCUCACUGGAAAGUGGCGGGUCACUUGAAAUGCAGGUGCAGCUGGACUUUUCUCUGAGCUAUAAGCAUAUCUAUUUAGUCUGCCUAAAAAACAGAUUAUUACCUUUGCUGCAGCUAACAUAAAGGAGAUGAGUUCUUGUGUUGACUGAUGCAGGAUUCACAGAGACAGCUUUGCGGCUGACUUUGUAAACUCGAUCUCAAAUCAAGUAAGACUACCCGCUAAACUUAAGCAUAUCAAUAAGCGGAGGA